GUGAUUGUAGCUCAGUUGGUAGAGCUCUGGAUUGUGGUUCCAGUGGUCGUGGGUUCGAAUCCCAUCAGUCACC
rnacentral:tRNA from 1 species